ACUACCCUCCUUGAAGUCAGGAUCCAUGUCAUGUUCAUAUUUCCAUUUCUCAUAAAAUAGUAUGGUUUCGAGAUCAAGAAUGGGAUUAAAAAAGAUAAUCCAAAAUGAGAAGGUUCAGAAGUAGACAUGAACAUGGGUAUAUGGAGAAAGUCUAGUGGAGAAGUGUUCUGGCACUCUGAGCUGAAAACAGGCUGGGAGGGUGAGAGUGUUGAGAAGGCAACAUAGGCAUUCUCCAGGGAAGAGUGCGGAGAGAACCCCAUCUCGAGAGAGGAUAAGUCACCAGAGACUUUGGACCAGGAAGAAGGCCUGGACUCUUCCCUUCUGUGGGAGAAAGUGCUCUCAGAGUUCUCCCUCCUCACCACCAGCCAGCCCCAGAACUGGAAAAAGCUUCUAAAUAUCAUCACAAAUGUGGGAAAAGCUUUAGCUGAGGUUCUUAUCUUGUUUGGUAUCAGAGAAUCCACACAGGAGGGAAGCCUUACAAGAGCAGUGAAUGUGAGAAAGGCUUCAGCGAGCACUCCAACCUCACUGCCCAACUAAGAACUUACACGGUGGGGAAUGUGGGAGAAGCUUCAACCAGAGCUCUAGCCUCAUUGUUCACCAGAGGCCUCACACUGGAGAGAAGCCUUGUCAGUGCACUGUCUGUGGGAAGAGAUUCAACACCAGUGCCCAGUUUAGCAUUCACCGGCGAGUCCAUACAGGGGAGAGCCUAUACAAGUGUGUGCAGUGUGGUAAAAGCUUCAACAAUAGCAAGAACUUCAGUGCCCACCAGAAAACCCACACUGGGGAACAGCCUUACAAGUGCUCUCAGCGAGAGAAAAGUUUCACUAAAAAUGCCGCCCUCAUCUGCCAUCAGGAAGUACACACAAGAGAUCUAUCACAGGAAGAGAUGUGCUGAGUGUGUAGGAAACUGGACACCUCAGUUCCUUAAAUCGACAUGUGUUUCUCAGAGCUUCCUUCUGCUGUGGAGAGUUUUACUAGCCACACCCUGGAUUAGCAGUAAACUUAUUGACAACUGGAUCUCAAGUACCAUGUCUGGGAAUAGGAAUCAGCCUAAGAAUGCUGAACCCUCUUCCCAUCUCUGCCUCUGAUUCCAGAGUCUUGUCUCACUGUGGACUUCAAUUUUGCUUACAAGGGCAGAGGCUACAGGACCCAUAAAUCCUGCCAGGAAAUUAGGGUAUACUAGAUGUGAACAGAGAAUGGGUCACUGGAUGCCUGAGAACUGUUUCUGGGCCAUGUUAGAAGAAAUUUUCCCUCUCAUGGGGAGCACAUCUAGAAGUUUAACAGCAUGGCUCUGUUCUAACCCAACAGCUGAGCUCUAGCACCUACUAUUUUGUACUACUGCUACCUUCAGGGCUGAUCGAUCACUACUCUGUAACACAGCCACCACUGAAAAGGGAGCAAAAGAAAUGAAAGACAGGUUAAGCCAUUGAGUAAUAGUAAAUCAAAGCAAGUGAUCCUUAGCAAAUGUAACAUCUGGUUUAAUCUUUGUAAGAUUUCUUAUCUCACCAUCACCCUCACUCGUUCCUGGUUUCUUGUCUCUUAUAAUCAGUUUCUACAAGUUUCUAAGCAUUACUCUUUCUGAUGAAAAUAAAGGUGUUUCUCCCUCCA